GACGAACGCUGGCGGCGCGCUUAACACAUGCAAGUCGAGCGAUGAAAUUUCGACAGAUCCCUUCGGGGUGAAGAUGAAAUGGAUUAGCGGCGGACGGGUGAGUAACACGUGAGUAACCUGCCUUUGACAUUGGGAUAGCCUCGGGAAACUGGGAUUAAUACCAAAUGACACUAACUGAUCACAUGAUCAAUUAGUCAAAGAAAUUCGGUCAAAGAUGGACUCGCGGCUGAUUAGCUAGUUGGUGAGGUAACGGCCCACCAAGGCGACGAUCAGUAGCCGGCCUGAGAGGGUGAUCGGCCACAUUGGAACUGAGACACGGUCCAAACUCCUACGGGAGGCAGCAGUGGGGAAUAUUGCACAAUGGGGGAAACCCUGAUGCAGCGACGCCGCGUGAGCGAAGAAGGCCUUCGGGUCGUAAAGCUCUUUUAUGAGGGAAGAUAAUGGCGGUACCUCAAGAAAAAGCCCCGGCUAACUACGU
rnacentral:rRNA from 1 species